rnacentral:rRNA from 1 species
UUGAACGCUGGCGGCAUGCCUUACACAUGCAAGUCGAACGGUAGAGGAGCAAUCCUCGAGAGUGGCGAACGGGUGAGUAAUGUAUCGGAACGUGCCCAGUAGUGGGGGAUAGCCCGGCGAAAGCCGGAUUAAUACCGCAUGAGACCUGAGGGUGAAAGCGGGGGACUCGCAAGAGCCUCGCGCUACUGGAGCGGCCGAUAUCAGAUUAGGUAGUUGGUGGGGUAAAGGCCUACCAAGCCUGCGAUCUGUAGCUGGUCUGAGAGGACGACCAGCCACACUGGGACUGAGACACGGCCCAGACUCCUACGUGAGGCAGCAGUGGGGAAUUUUGGACAAUGGGCGAAAGCCUGAUCCAGCCAUGCCGCGUGCGGGAAGAAGGCCUUCGGGUUGUAAACUGCUUUUGUACGGAGCGAAAAGGCUCUCUCUAAUGCAGGGGGCUCAUGACGGUACCGUAAGAAUAAGCACCGGCUAACUACGU